GACGAACGCUGGCGGCGUGCUUAACACAUGCAAGUCGAACGAUGACGACCGAGCUUGCUCGGUCUGAUUAGUGGCGAACGGGUGAGUAACACGUGAGCAACCUGCCCUUCACUCUGGGAUAACCUCGGGAAAUCGGGGCUAAUACCGGAUAUGAGCUCCUGUCGCAUGGCGGGUGUUGGAAAGUUUUUCGGUGAAGGAUGGGCUCGCGGCCUAUCAGUUUGUUGGUGAGGUAGUGGCUCGCCAAGGCGAUGACGGGUAGCCGGCCUGAGAGGGCGACCGGCCACACUGGGACUGAGACACGGCCCAGACUCCUACGGGAGGCAGCAGUGGGGAAUAUUGCACAAUGGGCGAAAGCCUGAUGCAGCGACGCCGCGUGAGGGAUGACGGCCUUCGGGUUGUAAACCUCUUUCAGCAGGGAAGAAGCGAAAGUGACGGUACCUGCAGAAGAAGCGCCGGCUAACUACGUG
rnacentral:rRNA from 1 species